rnacentral:rRNA from 1 species
AUUGAACGCUGGCGGCAGGCUUAACACAUGCAAGUCGAGCGGGGUGAUGGUGCUUGCACUAUCACUUAGCGGCGGACGGGUGAGUAAUGCUUAGGAAUAUGCCUAUUAGUGGGGGACAACAUCUCGAUAGGGAUGCUAAUACCGCAUACGUCCUACGGGAGAAAGCAGGGGAGCACUUGUGACCUUGCGCUAAUAGAUGAGCCUAAGUCGGAUUAGCUAGUUGGUGGGGUAAAGGCCUACCAAGGCGACGAUCUGUAGCGGGUCUGAGAGGAUGAUCCGCCACACUGGGACUGAGACACGGCCCAGACUCCUACGGGAGGAAGCAGUGGGGAAUAUUGGACAAUGGGGGGAACCCUGAUCCGGCCAUGCCGCGUGUGUGAAGAAGGCCUUAUGGUUGUAAAGCACUUUAAGCGAGGAGGAGGCUCUUUUGGUUAAUACCCAAGAUGAGUGGACGUUACUCGCAGAAUAAGCACCGGCUAACUCUGUGCCAGCCGCCGCAGUAA